AUGCACGCUGGCGGCGUGCCUAAUACCUGCAAGUCGCGCGAACGGACGAGAAGCUUGCUUUUCUGAUGUUAGCGGCGGACGGGUGAGUAACACGUGGAUAACCUACCUAUAAGACUGGGAUAACUUCGGGAAACCGGAGCUAAUACCGGAUAAUAUUUUGAACCGCAUGGUUCAAAAGUGAAAGACGGUCUUGCUGUCACUUAUAGAUGGAUCCGCGCUGCAUUAGCUAGUUGGUAAGGUAACGGCUUACCAAGGCAACGAUGCAUAGCCGACCUGAGAGGGUGAUCGGCCACACUGGAACUGAGACACGGUCCAGACUCCUACGGGAGGCAGCAGUAGGGAAUCUUCCGCAAUGGGCGAAAGCCUGACGGAGCAACGCCGCGUGAGUGAUGAAGGUCUUCGGAUCGUAAAACUCUGUUAUUAGGGAAGAACAUAUGUGUAAGUAACUGUGCACAUCUUGACGGUACCUAAUCAGAAAGCCACGGCUAACUACGUG
rnacentral:rRNA from 1 species